GGACGAACGCUGGCGGCAUGCCUAACACAUGCAAGUCGAACGGAGUUGAGGAGCUUGCUCCUGAACUAGUGGCGGACGGGUGAGUAACGCGUGAGUAACCUGCCUUUCAGUGGGGAAUAAUAUUCUGAAAAGAGUACUAAUACCGCAUAACGUAUAGAAACCGCAUGAUUUUUUAUACCAAAGAUUUAUCGCUGAGAGAUGGACUCGCGUCCGAUUAGCCAGUUGGUGAGGUAACGGCUCACCAAAGCAACGAUCGGUAGCCGGACUGAGAGGUUGAACGGCCACAUUGGGACUGAGACACGGCCCAGACUCCUACGGGAGGCAGCAGUGGGGGAUAUUGUGCAAUGGGGGAAACCCUGACAACCAGCAAUGCCGCGUGAAGGAUGAAGGUCUUCGGAUUGUAAACUUCUUUUGUCAAGGACGAUAAUGACGGUACUUGACGAAUAAGCUCCGGCUAACUACGUGCCAGCCGCCGC
rnacentral:rRNA from 1 species